rnacentral:rRNA from 1 species
GCUUGUCUCAAAGAUUAAGCCAUGCAUGUCUAAGUAUAAGCAAUUUGUACUGUGAAACUGCGAAUGGCUCAUUAAAUCAGUUAUAGUUUAUUUGAUCUUACCUUACUACUUGGAUAACCGUGGUAAUUCUAGAGCUAAUACAUGCAAAAAUGGGCGACUUCUGGCAGGGCUGUAUUUAUUAGAUACUAAACCAGUGUCGCAAGACAUUGUGGUGAAUCACAGUAACUGAUCGAAUCGGCGCGCAAGCGGCGAUAAAUCAUUCAAGUUUCUGCCCUAUCAGCUUUCGAUGGUAGUGUAUUGGACUACCAUGGCAGUCACGGGUAACGGAGAAUUAGGGUUCGGUUCCGGAGAGGGAGCCUGAGAAACGGCUACCACAUCUAAGGAAGGCAGCAGG